GGGACAUGUCGUUCUGUUGGCUUUCUGGGCAGAAGGGAUCAGAGUUUAAAUGCUGCUGCCCUCCACCACAGGAGCCAGCGAAGGAGAGCAGCAGGGGCUUCGGGAACCGUAAUUAACUGGUGGACAAGAGGAAUAAAGGGCAUUUGGCGUAAAGCGGAAAUGAGGAAAGCUCUGCUCUGAUGGGCUUGGCAUCAUCAAGUCUGACCAUGAGCCAUGCUCGUGCCCACCAGGCCGGGUUACUUUAGGAUGGAGAGGAGACACCCUUUCUGGCCCCUGUGAUGUUAGCCAAGAUCAAUGCAGUGAAGGAAAGCAUCUGGGUCCUUCUUUCAGAAAUCUUGCUCCAAAAGCGUCUGUCACACAAAAGCAAGAGAAAUUCAUCAGUUUGCCUCAACUCCCACAUCUGGGAAGGAGUAAUAUCAGGAUUUGAACCCAGGUCCAUCUGACUCCAAAACUUGAACUGCGGUGUGUCAGAGAAGACACUGCUGCCCAGAAGGUUCUGAGACAGAACCGAAAAUGAAUACGAUGCUCCGAGAACAAUUAGAAUGAGCCAUUGCUAAAUUGCCUUAUGAUGACAUGGUGUGACUUGCAAUGACAUACAACAGGGAAGGACACUGGCGUUCUGAGUGUGUGUGGGCAAGGAUUUGACUUUAAAGUUGGACGAAACUGCAAAGCACACAAAAUACAGGGUACACAACAGUGCUUGGCUGUGCUACGUGUGUUGUGUGUUGUGUGAGUCGAAGGUGUUGGUUGUGCGUCCAGUGGUAAGUGCUCUGUGUGUGGAUGCGUGUGACAUGGACGCAUGAGGCUGGACGGGGACUGAUUGAUUCAGGACUGUAGACCAGGCAUUCUAGUGGCCCACUCGGUGCGUCCCGCGAGCUGGCCAUUCCUCUCAGGGUCUCGCGUAUGAACAACUCACUCAUCUUCACAAUCACUCCGUGCAGUUGCUGUAAUAGUGUCUUUAUUUCAUGGAUGGGGAA